CACGUUUUCUUAAUCACAAUCAAUCGAUAAUCAACAAGUCAUUAGCAUCAAAUUUGGAUACCAUGUGUAUAGGACUUUUGUGCAUUAGAUAUCCUGCCCUUUAGGAUUUUAUUUGCAACUUUCAAAACACUUCGCUAAAUUGGUAAAAUUGGUUAACGACUAUCCUUUUAAAACAUGAAGCAAAUGUGCAUGCUCACCAUCUUUAAUAACGCCUAGGCAAGCCAUAGGCCGGAUAAAAAAUGACUAAUCACCUUUAAGUCGUGUUCAAAUUAACUCGCCUCUGUCUGUACUCGUUUGUCUCUGAAGUCCUCUAAUUUUAUACAAACUUCUGCCCUAUUUUUAAACUAUCUAUGCAAAAGGUUUUUACUGUAUUUCUUGUCCAAAAUUGGACUACUAUUUCAACUAUCUGGAUACUGUACUUUUCAAAAUCUCAAAAGCUAGUAUGUUUAUUGUCUCUCUUUACACUUCUGCAAUCUUAAAAUAUUUUCAUACUUGCCCUUUCACUCUACCUAUCCGAAAAACUAUUUUACCAUAUGUCCCGCAAAUGUUUUUCUAAGUAAUUUCUGCAAAUUACUAAAACUGCUACUGCCUUCUUAAAGUUCUGAACGCUAUUCUUACGACCUCUUUGUCCAGAAUUGGACUACUAUUUCAACUAUCUGAAUACUGUAAUUUUCAAAAGCUCAAAAGCUAGUAUGUUUACUGACUCUCUUUACACUUCUGCAAUCUCAAAAUAUUUUCAUAUUUGUCCUUCCACUCUGCCUGUCCGAAAAACUGUUUUACCAUAUGUUCCACAAAUGUUUUUUCUUAGUAAUUUCUGCAGAUUACCAAAACUGCUACUGCCUUCAUAAAGUUCUGAACGUUUUUCUUACGACCUCUUUUCUGCAAAAACUCUCCAUCUUCUGGUUUUAACUUAUACUCCAGCUUUCUAAAACUCUCUCUCUUCCUUAAGACUUUAAAUGUGUCUGAGACGCGCUAAUUACGUGUUUAUUCUUAGGUGGUAUUUGAGAUUUUUAUAUGUUUAUAUGAUCCCCUUAUGUGCAAGUCCUAUUUACUCUUAUAUGUCGUCUAGCAUUUUAACCUUUAAACAUAAGGGUUCAGCCUAGCUCCUACCUUAUAGGAAUAGUAUUCCUAGCCCUCUAGGAUCUAUAGGAUGGGACGGGUAAUAGCACGCAGUAAGUAUUCGUGACCAA
rnacentral:lncRNA from 1 species